rnacentral:misc_RNA from 1 species
UCUCAUUGGAAAAAAAGGCUAAAGUUUUCAAAUAAUUAUUUUUUGACAAAUAUAGUUAUUAAUAGUACUAUUUGUGUGAUGUAUGAUUUGGUUGUGUAGUAUACUUGAAUGUGAUAAAGUUUUCCUUUUUUUCAGCAUUGAGGCUCUUGUUAGUCAAGAAAUCUGUAUACCAUUUUGCUGAAAGCUUGGGAACUCGAUCUAAUGUAUGGCGAUCAACGUAGUAUAACCCAAAUUUGAGCUCGUAUCCACUAGUCCACUCGAAAUUAUCCAUCAGGCUCCAAAUGAAAUAACCACGUACAUCAGCGCCCUUCCUGAUUGCUCGAGCUAAUGAUGCAAGAUAUGACUUAUGGAAUUCAACUCGCUUAGUAUCAUGUUGUAGCUCAUCCGCUUGUGCUGUAGUAGGAUUCAGAGAGGCGUAGCCAUUUUCAGUAACAAACAUAGGUUUAUUAUGGUAUCUCUUCUUCAUAUAGUCAACAAUCUCCUCCAUUCCAUUUGGAACCACGAAAAAUCGAGACAUUCCUGUCGGUUCUCCAAUAGAAACGCCAUCUUUCUCUCCUAGAGUAAUGAGAUAGCCAUGGAUAGGGUGGUCUCCACCCGCGAUGCAACUAGAAUUGGAGCAAACGCAGCUAGAAUUAAUGCAAUCUUUCGCAUACAGAGUGCCAUAGUGGUUUAUUCCCAUGAAGUCAAUACUAUCUUUAAUAAGCUUUCGUUCAUCUGAGGUGAACCUCGGCAGUGCAUCUGCAAGAUAUUUACGCAUUUCUGGAGGGUAAUCUCCGUGUACUAAAGGAUCGAAUACCCAAGCAGCGGUAAAUAGCACAGCCCUAUGAGCAGCAUCACGAUCAAAGUCAUUAUUCCUUAACGGUUUAUACAUAAACGAAUGCACAACAAUUCCUAUCAUUCCGCCAUGUUUAGGUUGAAAAUGCUCGCGAUAUAGUUUUGCAGCCUUGGCAUGUGCCAGUAACAUGUUAUGCAUUGCAACAAGAGGUUCGGUAUCAGAAUUUCCAGCUGAACAGUUGCCAAAAGGCGGGGAGCAACGAGCAGGAGGGUAAACUCCCCUCACAUAGGCCAUUUCUGCAAACAUAUUUGGCUCAUUGAUUGUGGUCCAAUACUUCACUCUAUCACCAAAACUCUCGAAACAAAUCUUAGCAAAAUACGAAAAUUCUUCCUGCAUGAUAGGAUUGAGCCAGCCCCCAUGUUUUUCCUCGAGUUCAUGUGGAUGGUCGUGGUGAUUAAG